rnacentral:ncRNA from 2 species
GGCAGGCGAGCGGGAGAGCCCGAUGCACCCUUGAUCGGGGGCAAAGGCGCCGAAGGAGCAACCGCCCCGGAAACUCUCAGGCCAACGGACCGCUCGGCUGCG